rnacentral:rRNA from 1 species
GACGAACGCUGGCGGCGUGCUUAACACAUGCAAGUCGAGCGGUAAGGCCCUUUCGGGGGUACACGAGCGGCGAACGGGUGAGUAACACGUGGGUGACCUGCCCUCAGCUCUGGGAUAAGCCUGGGAAACUGGGUCUAAUACCGGAUAUGACUCCACGGCGCAUGUUGUGGGGUGGAAAGCCUUGUGUGGCUAGAGAUGGGCCCGCGGCCUAUC